rnacentral:sRNA from 1 species
GACCAUCGUCGGAAAUCGUCCAGCUUUCGGCGAGCCCGGGCUCGGUCUCCGUCGUGCCCUUCUUGAACUCGAGAAGACGGCUGUAAAC